GAUUUCUUUGCAGUCCUCUGAAGGUCAACAUGAAAAUAUUCAGUGAGGCUCAGGUAAGUGGCAGUAACAACUAUAAGUCUCUUAAGGAACCCAAAAGCUUGGUCAUUUAAUUAGUGACACGCAUGAAUGGAU
rnacentral:ncRNA from 1 species